rfam:Lactobacillus dextrinicus DSM 20335 NODE_22, whole genome shotgun sequence.
GCCGGAUUAGCUCAGUCGGUAGAGCGCUUCCCUCGUAAAGAAGAGGUCGCUGGUUCGAUUCCAGUAUCCGGCA